GCCUCGGUGGCCGAAUGGAAAGGCGUUCCGCCCGGAAAGUGGGGAGGUCCCAGGUUCGAGUCCUGGCGGAGGCA